rnacentral:rRNA from 9 species
GAAGUUGGAGUCGCUAGUAAUCGCAGAUCAGCAACGCUGCGGUGAAUACGUUCCCGGGCCUUGUACACACCGCCCGUCACGUCAUGAAAGUCGGUAACACCCGAAGCCGGUGGCCUAACCCCUUGUGGGAGGGAGCCGUCGAAGGUGGGAUCGGCGAUUGGGACGAAGUCGUAACAAGGUAGCCGUACCGGAAGGUGCGGCUGGAUCACCUCCUUU